ensembl:lncRNA
CUUAUCUCUUGCAAGUGCACAAUGUCUCUCUCUCUGUGUGUGUGUGUGUGUGUGUGUGGAUUCUGGGAAAUGUAGUUCGUGACGAGGAGUGACCGUGUUAUACAUUUACUUUGGCUGCAUGUUUUUGUUUGGCUUCUGAAGUAGAGCAAAGACUUGUGUAUUAUUAUUCCCUGAUCUAAUAACCUAUUCUUUCAUUGAUAAAAGCACUGGUUUUUAUACCGAAAUGCCAUGUGUCUUUUCAAGUAUAGAUGAAAGUGAAAGUAAUUUUCCUGGCUUAAUAUAGAGCUGCUCUCAGAAGACAAGACAUUCCCUGAAAAACUUUCAGAAAAAGCUAUAGGGACAGUAAAAAUAAAUAGACAUAUUUAUUAUUUAUCAAUGGAUAAAGAGGAUCAGUUUGAAUUUAAGGCCACAGAGAUCCCUCAAAAGCCAUGCACAGACAUGCUGAAGGAGGCCUAUCUGAACCUGCUCUCUCUGCGCCUGGAAUUCCAGCGUGAACAGAGCACUCCGGAGGAAGGAGCUUUCCAAACGAAUCUGGUUAAUAAAGAGAAAGACCUCAGUCUGCUCUAUGGAGCACAAAAUGUUUGUUAUUGUACACAGCUCCAGUGCUCUGCCCUCACGCAAUAAAGAUCUGCUGGUGUAUGUAGCACACAUUAUCCUGGAGGAAGAGAAGAGGCAGGGAGAGCCAGGAGCGAUGCAGGGAUGGAGGGAAGCAUGGAGGGAUGCAGUACUAAACGGGGUUCAAGAUACACUGGAGAAAGUUCAUCUGGACAGCCAUGAGCAGAACGCUUCCUGGCUGGCAGUGCAUCUGGGGCUUCUGGGUAAAGCUGUGGAGGAGGAUUUAGAGAGAGUGAAGACUGAACAUCAGACUUUAUUGUGUUUGAAACCUAUGUGUCCUGCUAUCAUGAGGCUGUAGGAGAGCAUCUAAAGAGACUUCUGGAAAAGGUGAUAGAGUGAAAGAUUACUAUGCUCUUCUAGAGUUCAUUAUUCAUCGCUACCCCAUUGAUCUGAGAGUCCAUGAGAGUGCCCUUAUAAUGGCAGAGGACCGGAACAAAAUAAAAACUUCUUACUGUGAUUGCCAAUUGGUAAGCUACUGCAAGGAAGUAUAGUUUAGCAAAUUUAAUAUUAAAGGGGUCAUAUGAUGCGAUUUAAAUUUUUCCUUUCUCGUUGGAGUGUUACAAGCUCUUGGUGCAUAAAGAUGAUCUGUAAAGUUGCAAAGACUAAAGUCUCAAAUCCAAAGAGAUAUUCUUUAUAAAAGUUAAGAGUCAACCACUCCCUCCUAAAAUGCCUCAUUUAAACAUGCCCCCACAUGUCUACGUCACGAUGUGGGAAGAUUUGCAUAACAAAAGAAGAUUUGCAUAACAAAAAAACCCAAUACUAAGAUGCUGCCAUAAAAAUGAGAGAACAGUGGAAUGAACUUAAAAAACUAUUUGUGGCUAUAGUAAGAUACAGUCUAGUAUCAAACAAUGUGAAAUAUACAACUGUAUUUUUCAAGGAAGAGGCAAUGAAAAUAUUCUUAUACUCAGGGACCAUCCUUAAAAUGGCUUUAUCCACUGGGAGAUUACCUUAGCAACAUUAUUGGAAUGGAAAAUGAGAAAAAUAUAAAAGAUAUGCACUGGUUAGUAAUUACCCAGACAUCAGGUAAGUGUUAUAGGAACUUUGAAUAUAUUGCUAUUUUUACAACAAUACAUGUUUUGUACACUUAACUAUUACAUGUAGUAUAGUUAUCAUGUAUUUAACUUUUCAUUUCUAGCAAGAAGCAGUUGUCAGCUGUUCUGUCCUUCAGAGACAAUGGUUUAAACUUUGAGAGUGACAAGAAGUGACAAGAAUCUGAUCACAUCACUGUACUGCCUUACUUAAGGAUACUUUAUAAAUACAUAUAUUUAUAUGUAUAUAGGCUGACAUGUAUUCUAAGUAUCUAAGUAUCACACUAUUAUGUUUACAGAGAUUCUCUUGGCCAUUCGGAUGCUUCGGGAACCAUCAGGAACUAUAAACAAUUGCAUUAUUUUAUGAGGCUACUUGUGCUAUUUGCCUCUAACCAUCCAUUAUUUUUUUAGCAAGAAUUUAACCAUUUAACUAUUAUUGUGCAGCCUUAUUUUGGUGUAUGUUUUGGUUGUUUGUACGUAUAUUUUCCAACAGAGGGAGACAUUAAACUAUAGAUGCAAAUUUCGCAUUUCCUCCAUAUUGCCUAAUCAUGCAUAAAGAGACUUGGUGGAUUCAGUCUAUCUACUGUUAUAUCAAUCAAUCAUCUAAAUGUGAAUUAUAAAACACAAUGCUGGACAAAACUGAGUGUGUGCUGUGCAAUAUUAACUCCAGGUGGACUCAGCUCUUGCAACAAAACCUAUUGGUUGGUUAUUCAUAUUUUGUCCCUCCCUCUUCUCUUGUUUAAUGCAAAUUUAAAAUUUUGCCUAAACCUAACAUUCUCUCUGAUUUUUAUCAAUGAACAAAACAUGUAGAUAAAAUUCAUUUUCACCGCUACAGUGUGUUAUUGAACAGAUAUUUACUUUUACAUACUUUCGCAAUGUUUUGGGGAUAUUUAUACAGAUAUUGAUGUGAGAUGCCAUCUUUGUUUACAUAAUCAUGUUUGAUUUUGUUUUAAUGACUUAACUAUAUGAGGUGGUGAAUUUAUUAAUGAAAUAAUUAUUAAACAUUUUACACAUUUCCACAUGCAAA